CCUACGGGGUGCAGCAGUGAGGAAUAUUGGUCAAUGGGCGCGAGCCUGAACCAGCCAAGUCGCGUGAAGGAUGACUGCCCUACGGGUUGUAAACUUCUUUUAUAAGGGAAUAAAGUGAGGCACGUGUGCCUUUUUGUAUGUACUUUAUGAAUAAGCAUCGGCUAACUCCGUGCCAGCAGCCGCGGUAAUACGGAGGAUCCGAGCGUUAUCCGGAUUUAUUGGGUUUAAAGGUAGCGUAGAUGGGUUGUUAAGUCAGUGGUGAAAGUUUGCGGCUCAACCGUAAAAUUGCAAUUGAUGUUGGCAGUGUGGAGUACGGUUGAGGUAGGCGGAAUUCGUGGUGUAGCGGUGAAAUGCUUAGAUAUCGCGAAGAACUCCGAUUGCGAAGGCAGCUUACUAGACUGCCACUGACAUUGAUGCUCGAAAGUGUGGGUAUCAAACAGGAUUAGAUACCCUUGUAGUA
rnacentral:rRNA from 1 species